rnacentral:rRNA from 1 species
CACGUAGGCACCAAGCGUUGUCCGGAAUUAUUGGGCGUAAAGAGCUCGUAGGCGGUUCGGCAAGUCGGAUGUGAAAUCUCCACGCUUAACGUGGAGGGGCCAUUCGAAACUGCCGUGACUCGAGUCCGGUAGGGGAGUGCGGAAUUCCCGGUGUAGCGGUGAAAUGCGCUGAUAUCGGGAGGAACACCAGUGGCGAAGGCGGCACUCUGGGCCGGAACUGACGCUGAGGAGCGAAAGCGUGGGGAGCGAACAGG